UCCUACGGGAGGCAGCAGUGGGGGAUAUUGCACAAUGGGGGGAACCCUGAUGCAGCGACGCCGCGUGGGUGAAGAAGCGCCUCGGCGCGUAAAGCCCUGUCAGCAGGGAAGAAAAUGACGGUACCUGAAGAAGAAGCCCCGGCUAACUACGUGCCAGCAGCCGCGGUAAUACGUAGGGGGCAAGCGUUAUCCGGAUUUACUGGGUGUAAAGGGGGCGCAGACGGCGAUGCAAGCCAGGAGUGAAAGCCCGGGGCCCAACCCCGGAACUGCUCUGGAAACUGUGCGGCUAGAGUACUGGAGGGGCA
rnacentral:rRNA from 1 species